AGAGGAGACAUGCGCGCAUAUCAAUAAGCGGAGGAAAAGAAACUAACAAGGAUUCCCCUAGUAACGGCGAGUGAAGCGGGAAGAGCUCAAAUUUGAAAUCUUAAAGGGUUUCCCUUUACGAAUUGUAGUUUAAAGAAGUGUUUUCUGUUGAGGUUUUGGUAAAAGUUCUUUGGAAUAAGACAUCAUAGAGGGUGAGAAUCCCGUAUUUGACCAUUAUUUUCAGCUGUGUGAUACACUUUCAAAGAGUCGGAUUGUUUGGGAAUGCAGUCCAAAAUGGGUGGUAAAUUUCAUCUAAAGCUAAAUAUUGGCGAGAGACCGAUAGCGAACAAGUACCGUGAGGGAAAGAUGAAAAGAACUUUGAAAAGAGAGUUAAACAGUACGUGAAAUUGUCAAAAGGGAAGCGUUUGACACCAGUGUUGUUUUUCUGAAAAUCAAUUAAAGAACUGUUUAUGCUAAGCUGUUUAGACUUUAUCAGCUAUCUGUUUAGUUUUGAGCUUUUCUUUAAUGCACUUUUCAGUUAACAAGUCAACAUCAAUUUCUUUUGCUGUAAAAAAGCUUGAGGAAGGUGGCUUGAGAUUCGUCUUAAGUGUUUAUAGCCUCUUGCCUAUGCAGUCGGAGAGAUUGAGGUCUGCAGCGUAGAUCCUUCGGGGCUAAAUGCAUUUGUGCUAAGUUAUAGCCUUUCAUAGACAACUUGUUGACUAUGAUCAGUCAUGUAGCUUACUCGCUUAUGUUAUUUUACCUACGCUUAGGAUGUUGAUGUGAUACUGCGAGCA
rnacentral:rRNA from 1 species